UACGAAGGGGGCGAGCGUUGUUCGGAUUUACUGGGCGUAAAGGGCGCGUAGGCGGCGGUCCAAGUCGAGUGUGAAAGCCCCGGGCUCAACCUGGGAGGUGCGCUCGAGACUGGUUCGCUGGAGUUCGGGAGAGGAGCGUGGAAUUCCCAGUGUAGAGGUGAAAUUCGUAGAUAUUGGGAAGAACACCGGUGGCGAAGGCGGCGCUCUGGACCGAGACUGACGCUGAGGCGCGAAGGCGUGGGGAGCAAACAGG
rnacentral:rRNA from 1 species